rnacentral:rRNA from 1 species
AGCGAACGCUGGCGGCAGGCUUAACACAUGCAAGUCGAGCGGGCACUUUCGGGUGUCAGCGGCGGACGGGUGAGUAACGCGUGGGAACGUGCCCUCUGGUUCGGAAUAACUCAGGGAAACUUGAGCUAAUACCGGAUACGCCCUUUUGGGGAAAGGCUUGCUGCCGGAGGAUCGGCCCGCGUCUGAUUAGCUAGUUGGUGAGGUAACGGCUCACCAAGGCGACGAUCAGUAGCUGGUCUGAGAGGAUGAUCAGCCACACUGGGACUGAGACACGGCCCAGACUCCUACGGGAGGGAGCAGUGGGGGAUAUUGGACAAUGGGCGCAAGCCUGAUCCAGCCAUGCCGGGUGAGUGAUGAAGGCCUCAGGGUUGUAAAGCUCUUUUAUCCGGGACGAUAAUGACGGUACCGGAGGAAUAAGCCCCGGCUAACUUCGUG